UACGUAGGGUGCGAGCGUUGUCCGGAAUUAUUGGGCGUAAAGCGCACGUAGGCGGCUUUGUAAGUUAGAGGUGAAAGCCCAGGGCUCAACCCUGGAAUUGCCUUUAAGACUGCAUCGCUUGAACAUCGGAGAGGUAAGUGGAAUUCCGAGUGUAGAGGUGAAAUUCGUAGAUAUUCGGAAGAACACCAGUGGCGAAGGCGACUUACUGGACGAUUGUUGACGCUGAGGUGCGAAAGCGUGGGGAGCAAACAGG
rnacentral:rRNA from 1 species